rnacentral:rRNA from 1 species
GACGAACGCUGGCGGCGUGCCUAAUACAUGCAAGUUGAGCGCUGAAGGUUGGUACUUGUACCAACUGGAUGAGCAGCGAACGGGUGAGUAACGCGUGGGGAAUCUGCCUUUGAGCGGGGGACAACAUUUGGAAACGAAUGCUAAUACCGCAUAAAAACUUUAAACACAAGUUUUAAGUUUGAAAGAUGCAAUUGCAUCACUCAAAGAUGAUCCCGCGUUGUAUUAGCUAGUUGGUGAGGUAAAGGCUCACCAAGGCGAUGAUACAUAGCCGACCUGAGAGGGUGAUAGGCCACAUUGGGACUGAGACACGGCCCAAACUCCUACGGGAGGCAGCAGUAGGGAAUCUUCGGCAAUGGACGAAAGUCUGACCGAGCAACGCCGCGUGAGUGAAGAAGGGUUUCGGAUCGUAAAAAUCGGUUGGUAGAGAAGAACGUUGGUGAGAGUGGAAAGCUCAUCAAGUGACGGUAACUACCCAGAAAGGGACGGCUAACUACGUG